CCCUUAUUUAGUGUUUUCAGUUGCUGUUACUACCUAAUUAUAGGUGACACAGAAUGUCUUUUGUGUUUGUAUUAAAAAGGACAAUUGAUUCCAGAGAAAGCGCACCCUUGGAUUCUUGCACUGAGGUAGUCAAACACCAAGAAGAACUGGGGAAAGAAACAGGGAAAUAAGGUGGCUGUGACACCCCCUGUGGAAAGCUACAUUACUUAUUCUGCUUGAAUGAAGUUAUAUUGGAUAAAUCUAGUACAAAGUGAAAGCCCUAUUUCCAGCUGGGACU
rnacentral:lncRNA from 1 species